AUUGAGCCGUACCCUAAACCGACACAGGUGGAAUGGUAGAGUAUACCAAGGCGUUGAGAGAAUGAUGGUUAAGGAACUCGGCAAAUUGCGUGCGUAACUUCGGGAUAAGCACGCCCAUACUCUGGGCAACCAGGGUGUGGGGACACACGAGAGGGGGUGGCGACUGUUUAGCAAAAACACAGGGCUCUGCAAACUCCAAAGAGGAAGUAUAGGGUCUGACGCCUGCCCGGUGCCGGAAGGUUAAGAAAAGCUGUUAACGCAGUGGAUUGAAGCCCCGGUAAACGGCGGCCGUAACAAUAACGGUCCUAAGGUAGCGAAAUUCCUUGUCGGGUAAGUUCCGACGCGCAUGAAUGGCGUAACGAUCUCCCCACUGUCUCAACCAUUAUCUCAGCGAAAUAGAACUCCCCGUGAAGAUGCGGGGUACCCGCGGCUAGACGGAAAGACCCUAUGAACCUUUACUGUAGUUUCGCAGUGGGUACAGGGGCAUCUUGUGCAGAAUAGGUCGGAGGCUAUGAAGUAGGGGCGUUAGCCCUUAUGGAGCCACAACGUGAGAUACGACCCUAGAUGUUCUUGUAUUCUAACCCAGCACCUCACCGGUGCGGGACCCCUGCGUGAUGGGCAGUUUGACUGGGGCGGUCGCCUCCCAAAGAGUAACGGAGGCGUACGAAGGUUGGCUCAUGACGGUUGGAAACCGUCAGUUGAGUAUAAUGGCAAAAGCCAGCCUGACUGCAAGAGGGACACCUCGAGCAGGGACGAAAGUCGGUCAUAGUGAUCCGGUGGUUCCGCAUGGAAGGGCCAUCGCAAACGGAUAAAAGGUACUCUAGGGAUAACAGGCUGAUCGCAUCCAAGCGUCCAUAGCGACGAUGCGGUUUGGCACCUCGAUGUCGACUCAUCACAUCCUGGGGCUGGAGCAGGUCCCAAGGGUAUGGCUGUUCGCCAUUUAAAGUGGUACGUGAGUUGGGUUCAAAACGUCGUGAGACAGUUUGGUCCCUAUCUACCGUGGGUGUUGGAGUAUUGAGAAGAGUUGCCCUUAGUACGAGAGGACCGGGGCGAACACACCUCUGGUGUACCUGUUGUGGCGCCAGCCGCAUUGCAGGGUAGCUAUGUGUGGAAAGGAUAACCGCUGAAAGCAUCUAAGUGGGAAGCCUCCUUCAAAAACAAGUACUCCCUAUCAGGGCUGUGGCAGACUACCACGUUGAUAGGCCAGGUGUGUAAGCACAGUAAUGUGUUGAGCUAACUGGUACUAAUUGCCCGAUUGACUAA
rnacentral:rRNA from 1 species